AGCACACAUUGGUUGAAAUGUGAUAACAUACAUCAACAAAUAUUGUUUUAAUUGGUAGCUGUGAGGAUGAAGAAUUCCAGCUUCAUUUGUUGCAUAUUCUUAGCUAUGCUUCUAUUGGCAUCAUCGGGAAUGAAUGAAAUAGCAGGAGAGGCGAGGGAAUUGCUGGUGGGAAAGAGUGGAGGGAGGUGCAUUGAAGUGAUGGACCCAAAGGGAUGUAAUCUGGUUUCUUGCAAACAGCAAUGCCUUCAACUCAAGAAUGGGAAUGGAGUUUGCUUGGCUAAUGUCAAACAGGGUUAUCAAUGUGUUUGUUACAUCAAUUGCUAACUGGAACUUGAUUUGUGUUUAUUAGAAUGCAUCAAAUAACCCUCUUCGUUUA